ensembl:snRNA U5 U5 spliceosomal RNA
AUACUCUGGUUUCUCUUCAGAUCGCAUAAAUCUUUCACCUUUUACUAAAGAUUUGUGAUCAGCAUCCUGUCCCUUGAUUAUUAAAUCAAACAUUAAUCUAGGACUUCCGUGGCAGGA